UACGGAGGGUGCGAGCGUUGUCCGGAAUCACUGGGCGUAAAGGGCGCGUAGGCGGCCUGAUAAGUAGGGGGUGAAAUCCUGCGGCUUAACCGCAGGGCUGCCUUCUAAACUGUCAGGCUUGAGCACAGUAGAGGCAGGUGGAAUUCCCGGUGUAGCGGUGGAAUGCGCAGAUAUCAGGAGGAACACCAAUGGCGAAGGCAGAUCUCUGGGCCGUAACUGACGCUGAGGAGCGAAAGCAUGGGGAGCGAACAGG
rnacentral:rRNA from 1 species